UCCAUCGCACGACGUCUCCUGCCCCGUUGCGGCUGCGCCGGGUGCUCGUACGCACAACACCGGCACCAGCACAGUGCACGCGGCGCGGUCGGCCACGGCGAGGAUGAACACGCCAACACGCGUCAGCCACCCGGACUGCCCACGGGCCAGGAGUGCGGCGGGGCAUCGAGGUUUUGACUAGCUCCGGCGGCCAGCCGGCAAAGGUGCAACCAAGCUCCCCAUAGGCGCAGGGCACGUGCGGGCACACGCUCCCGUGGUUGACGGCCUGGUAGUGGAAAGAUUGGUGAGAAAUUAGCAUAAAACUCUUCCCUGAUCAUUUAUCUCCUCUGCGUCAAUUGUUUCACCUUUUGCCGAGCUCCUUCUCCGGCCAAAAAUUCCUCGCCGUCAUUCACUCUUUCUUCAAUUCCUUUCACAUACGCCAUGCACAGCAGCUCAACAACCCAUUUGAGUCGCUUGUGAGCUAAACUUUCGCCACAAUCACCUUCUCACCGUGUUCUUCCUUCUCGGGCGCCACCGAGCCGAGCCGUCAAGCACGCCGGUGAGCAAGGCCAUUGUGGCUAUGGGGAUCAGUGUUGUGUGGUCUACAGGAUGUGAGGAGGUGCAUAGGAGAGGUAUAAGCAGUUUUCGGAGUCGUUCCAUGGCCGGAGUGGCCGGAACGCGGCGCGCCACUGUGGCCGUGCCGUGGCCGAAGGGGCCGCCGCGGAGCUCCCUGCUUCGGGGUCUUGAGGCUCGGCUGGGACCCAUGGCCUCUUACUGCGGUUGUGCUGGUACUCCCCGAGCCGAUGGCUGACAAAGGGAAGCACUGCAGCAGCCGGCCGCCGUGGCCGCCCUCGCCGGAGUUGGGGGGCUACCGCUGCUGGCCUGUGUCUGUGGGGAAGCCAAACUCAGCUCUCUCUCUCUCUCUCCAUGUCAAGUCACGAGAAUGCAAUUUUUUUGUUCUGCUAUGUUUUGCUCCAUGCCAAGUGCCUAACAGGUUGCCUAAUAUUGAUGCUGCAUUUUCUACACUUUAUAUUGCUGUUAAGCACGUUCCCUUCUCUGGUGAUAAAGUGAGUUUUUUUGAACUUCGAUUUUUAGUAUUUUGUAUGUCAGGUUGCACUGAAAUCCAAACAGCAUGAAUGACUCAAUUCAGAGAUGGUGUUGGUGGAGCAAGUAAAUGAAACAUGAAAGGCCAAAUCCCAUAUGCAUGUUAACAGGCUAUAUAAAUAUGUCAGAUAUGAAGUAUUUCUAUCAUCCUACAAUAUAGCUUAUUAUAUUGUUAUAUGUUCACCAUUAUUCGUAUGAUUUCUUCCAACAUUUCUUUUCUACCAUUGAGAAACUUUUUCUACCAUUAAUUUAAUUGCCUAAACAUAGUAUUUUUUUCCUUGAAAAAUAUCAGAAUGGGGACUAUUUGCUCAAUCUCCUACGAUUAUUUGUUUAGGAGGUUUCGGUUCAAUGCCCUGCAAUACUUUGUAUUCUGUAUCUGUAUACCUCACAAGCGUUGUGGUUCACACAAAAUUAUAAAUUCUUUCCGGGAUAAGCAGAGAUGUCCAGUUCAAUAUGGUUUAUUCUUCUACACACCGACAACAAAACAUGUUUUUGUUGGAGAACUUUCCAGGAAGCAGUGUUCAGAAAAUAUAAUGGAAGUUAGGAGGUAAGUUGUCUCUGGUGUUUCUAAAAGUUUGACGGCACCACUAUCUAAUCAAAUUUGGUAGCCUAAUCAACAUAUUUAACUAUAAUUAUUUUAUCAGUUAAUGCAUUCCUAUAUUGCUUCAUAUUUAAUUUUCUUUGUUUUUGUUUGGUCAUUGUUGCUGGGAUGGGAGACGAAAGCAUAGAUAGGAGUCAACAGUCCAUACUCCAGAUACGUUGCCUCCUAGGUAUUCAGUUUCAGGGUUUUAGGUAUGAACCUAUGUGAAGUAUAAUGUGGUUACUCAUAAAAAAAACUGAUGAUUAGGUAACUGAAUUUUAAGACAUUGUUUUACAAGGAGGUAAGAAGCUACAUAUGCACGAUGUGUUCAAGGUCCUGCUCAAGCUGCUGACUCUAUAGGCUGUGGUCUGUCGAUAAAAGAACAUGAAGGCACAUACAGAAAUUGCAUGGAGCAGCCGUAUACAGGAAUUGUAUGAAGAAGCCCUACAGUAAAACUUAUUCAUCUCUACCUUCCACCAUAUAUGCGAUCUAUUGUUAGUUCUUGGUUGUUUGGUUUUCGCAGCUGUGGUGGACUGAAACCCUUUUAUAUAUGAUUAGAUUUUAAAGAGGUGAAAGAUGUCAUUUGCAUUAUGUAGAAACUAUGCUGUUGAAGUGAGCAUUCAAUUGUAUUAUCACAAAGAAGAUUGUAAUAUGUUAAAACCUCUUGCUUUCCAACACGAGAUGCUACUAA